rnacentral:rRNA from 1 species
UACGUAGGGGGCAAGCGUUGUCCGGAAUUAUUGGGCGUAAAGAGCGUGUAGGCGGUCCGGUAAGUCAGCUGUGAAAGUCAAGGGCUCAACCCUUGAAUGCCGGUUGAUACUGUCGGGCUAGAGUCCGGAAGAGGCGAGUGGAAUUCCCGGUGUAGCGGUGAAAUGCGCAGAUAUCGGGAGGAACACCAAUGGCGAAGGCAGCUCGCUGGGACGGUACUGACGCUGAGACGCGAAAGCGUGGGGAGCAAACGGG